UACGGAGGGUGCAAGCGUUAUCCGGAUUCACUGGGUUUAAAGGGUGCGUAGGUGGGCAGGUAAGUCAGUGGUGAAAUCUCCGGGCUUAACUCGGAAACUGCCGUUGAUACUAUCUGUCUUGAAUAUCGUGGAGGUAAGCGGAAUAUGUCAUGUAGCGGUGAAAUGCUUAGAUAUGACAUAGAACACCGAUUGCGAAGGCAGCUUACUACACGAUCAUUGACACUGAGGCACGAAAGCGUGGGGGGCAAACGGG
rnacentral:rRNA from 1 species